rnacentral:misc_RNA from 1 species
GAUGAAGAACGUAGCGAAAUGCGAUAAGUAAUGUGAAUUGCAGAAUUCAGUGAAUCAUCGAAUCUUUGAACGCACAUUGCGCCCGCCAGUAUUCUGGCGGGCAUGCCUGUUCGAGCGUCAUUACAACCCUCAGGCCCCCGGGCCUGGCGUUGGGGAUCGGCGGAAGCCCCCUGCGGGCACAACGCCGUCCCCCAAAUACAGUGGCGGUCCCGCCGCAGCUUCCAUUGCGUAGUAGCUAACACCUCGCAACUGGAGAGCGGCGCGGCCACGCCGAAAAACACCCAACUUCUGAAUGUUGACCUCGAAUCAGGUAGGAAUACCCGCUGAACUUAAGCAUAUCAAUAAGCGGAGGA